UCCAAUUGAACCAUAACGAAUAUAUAAUUGAUGAUGAAAGGAAUGCAAAUUCAAGUAUGACCAUUACUACAAAAACAAAACACAAAACUUCGAAUGAUACAUCGAUCACAAUUCUGUACAGUACCUCCAAACUCAAAUGCUAGUCCUUUUCAGAGAUCUAUCGCCAAUAGUAUUCACAUCUUCGCAUAUGGUGUUAUCGAACAACGAUAGCAAAACUCGGUUUCACCGGGAAUCUGGACAGAUUUGUGUAUCUUCAGGAUAUCUAUAUGAAUCAAUAGAAACAUUAUUGUAAUUAACGGCAACGAGCUAAAAGAAGCAUAUUUACCUUAGUUCGCUAAUAAUAUUAGACAGUAAAAAUCGCAUUCAACUUAGAAAAGGCACUUCUAUUUUUGUAAACAUUGUUUUAUAUUACCACUAACAACUCAACGAACGCAGAAAUCCAAAUGUCAACAACAAUUGAACGAAAAAGUUGUCGACACAAAUCGCGCGCGACUCGACAUGCUGAGUUGAAUCGAAAAAGUUGGUCCGACCUAUGUUGCCAGCUGCCAAGUGUCGGCAACCUUUUCGUUCAAUUUCUGUUGACAUUUCAAUUUAUGCGUCGUUAAGAUAAAUAUUUGUCAGUGGUGAUAGCCAGCAGCAUUAAACAGUCAAAAGAGGCCCACUUCAUAGAAACACGAACAAAAGGUAAGUAUUUUGCUACUUCAAUAUAUAAUUUUACAAAUGAUAUAUGUUAUUUUCUAAUAAAGCGAUCUAAAAUUGAAGAAUUUUCAGGAACAUGAACGAGCAGCAGAUCAACAUCAUGCUAGUGCAGGAAGUGGAGAAACAUCCAAUACUGUACAACUUCACACUUCCUGGCUAUGCAAAAAAAGAUGAAACUGAAAUGGCAAGGAUAGAAAUUGGAAAAAAAGUACAGAUGUCAGAAAUGGCAUCUCUGUUAGUGAUUAUGACGGAUAAAAACUUAACGAAUUCAACGCGUUUGAGUUGUCUCAAUGUGCAGAGCUGAGUUCCCAGAUUCCUAUAUUUUCGAGCGUUUAUAAGCACCAUGUCGACCGAGCGACGGGAAAUGCUACAAAGGUGCUGGAAUCUAUCCCCGCCAUGUCCCCUUCAAGCAACACUGCCUAUCGUUUCAGCUAUAAUUACUUGUACUGAGUGAAAUGGCAUCACUGCAUAGAUUUCCUUUUCACUCUUUCGCUGAACUGUCAUUCAAAACAACAAGGCGAGUACGUAUUAGCUGUUUGAAGAAACAGUCGCAAAUAGCAUCUUCUGUUACAAUUACAACUAUUUUCCACGUUUUGUUGCUGUUGCGGCUAAUAUUUCAUGUGCUAGAAAAAACACGAACACCAUCCUGGGGAACACAUACAGCUGGAAACACCAGCGAUUGAGAAAUGACUUUAAUAGAGCGAAAUCGAAGCGUUUAUCUUACGACGAGUCUUACUCAACCGAUGAUAUCUACAAAUAAGAUGAGGAUGAUAAAAUGAAUGAUGGUAGUAUUGAAUACUGGUGUUGAUCACUUUUUAUCUCAUUUCAGUUGUUGCUGCUGAUUGUUCUCAUAACAACGGCAUUUUUCGACUUGAUCGGUGAUGUUUACGGCCAAGAUGAGGAUGCAUUGAAUGAAGGUAGUUUUGACAGAGACGAUGGAGAAUCAGUAAUUUUGAAAAUGAAGUAGUCGCCCCGAUCGGUUUCCACUGAAAAAUCAUCCACAACAACUGAGAAGUAGAUCACAGUAACACGAAGAAGAUUCAUUAAGAAUGGAACAUGAUGGAAAACUGGAAGAUGAAAGUAUCGAAUAAGGAUUAAAAAAACGAACAACAAUCAAUCGGUGUGUAGAAAGGUGUAGAGAAAGACGAUCUCCAUGAUGUGAAUCGAAUGUGAAUCAGACGAAAAUGACUGAUGGUACUAUUAUGUGCUUCCAUACCCGUUAAUCAUGAUGGAAUUAUUGUGUUUGAGUAGGAUUCAGAAGUAUCCACCAUGACAUGCAGGCAGAAGUCACAAUUCAAUGAUAAAUUCAGCUCACGUCGCCAACUAGUGCUAAACCCCUAAGGAGUUACUAGUUACACUAGUAAUAGGGAACAAAACAGUAAUAGGACAACAAGUCAACGGUUGAAGAAGUAGCUGUCAAAGCUAAUCUAGAGUACUACUGCCAAAGAUGAAAUAACAUCAGAUGCUGAUGAAAUAACAUCAGAUGCUGAUGAAAUAACAUCAGAUGCUGCUCCAUAUGCUGAUCAUCAAUAACAUCAGUACAACUGUAUGUAUGUCUCAAAAGCAACUCCAACGAUAGUUUUUCGUCCGAUCGCUGGUUUUCCGUUGUGAAUUUACAAUCUCGGAAGCAUUAUUCGAGAGAAUUUUAUCAUCACCAUCUCUUAUCGCAAACUGUAGCUUAUCUUAUUGUGCAACAUCAAUUGCAAAUUGGGGUGUGUAGUUAAAACUCAUCAAUUAUCAUGCAACUGUACUUUCAAUCAAAUGUGCUGAUCAUCCGAUCUUUCGAUAUCUCCGGAAUAAGCUUCUGCUGUCGCCGCUGUGGAGCACGAAUUAGGCCGACGAU